UAUUCUGGGUGUGCAUAACUUUACAAACGGGGACCCAUAGGGGAAAGCAUGGAAGGGAUGAACUGGAGGAGUCACAUCUGCAACAAGCGAUGCUAAGUCACUACAAUGAUGGCAGAUGACAGACAAACAGAAGGGCUCCUCCAGAGGACAUACAACUUUAACAGGAUUGGAAAUGGUACCGACCAGCUGUAGGAGACGGACAGAUACACAGUCCUGCCCACAGGUUCUUUGAUGCUCGUCGAUACCGCUGCGUGAUGAUGUCAUACGGCAGAGAGCGAGGGUGGGGAGGUAUGAUCAAAGAACAGAGGGAGGGAUGAAGACGCAGGAGAGGAUAUCCAAGACAACAACGGGACAAAGAUGGCGACUGCUUCUGCAAUGGGACGUCCACUGGCGUCCAGACCUUCGGAUCACCAAUUUGAACCCUGGACGUGCAGCAGGUGCAUUCACUGGCCUUAUUCUAACAGGAUGACCACCAGCAUGACAUACAGGAACCACCAAGCCAACGUCAGCCAUCACCACUACCGCCGGGCUAGCACGCCCCUUUCAUCAUGGUCUUUUGGCUGUUAAUAUAGGCCUCUCUUGGCCAUCAAAGGCAGCACAUCAAUCGCCUUGACUCCCAAGUGUAUGUGUGAGGGUGAAAGAGAGAAAGGGAGAGUGGGGAAAAAAAGAAGAACACCAUGUAUCAAAGAUCAAGGCACGCUUUCAUGCCUGAUUUUGGCCCUGGUUAGGUUUUGCUUUCCAUCAUCUUUCCAUCCUCCCUUUUUCUCCUUGUUCUAGGGCUGUAGACGCUCCCCGAAACCCACCAAUGUAUUCUCCCAUCCUUAAGUGAUCCACAUUUCCCCAUCGCUGAAAAAUCGAAUCUUUUGUCGGGUAAAUGGAAGUAAAAGACAUUUUGUCUAUAUUUUUUUUUCUUUGAGAAUGUUCUGUAGCUUUGCAGGCUACAGGGCCACAGCUCUGCCCCAAUGAUGACAAUACGUGAAACAAUAUUUGAAUAAGCAGCAGGAGGGCAGCCAGCUAAUCCACUGUGGCUAAUCCAGUAUUGGUGCAGGCCAUAUUGGUAGCUUGAGUAUUCAACCCCAUCACAAUACACAUCAGCAGGACGCCAUGGCAGAUAUACUGACACUCUCACUACAGGCAUGGCUGGGAAAGGCCAGCAGAUGGAUGGAUAGGUGGGUAGAUGGAUGGGUGGAUGGAUGAUAUAGAGAUAAGUGAAUGUACAAUAGCAUGGAUGGUUGGAAACCUUUGAAAUUUAUUCUGUUGUUGCUGUUUUCACAUCUUGUGAAAGUGUUUUUGGGUAACUUGUCGGAGCAGUUAAAGAAGAACUGAGAAUUGGAGAGAUUGGAGAGAUGAUUGACAAGAUACUCAGCUCUCUGAAUGGAAAUCAUCUUAAUUCAUGGUAACAAAGAGACCUUAGAUAUCAAUGUAUCCCAGCCAUCUCUAUGUCAAACAAUAAAAGGUUUCACUGUACAAGA